rnacentral:rRNA from 1 species
UACGUAGGGUGCGAGCGUUGUCCGGAAUUAUUGGGCGUAAAGGGCUCGUAGGCGGUUUGUCGCGUCGGGAGUGAAAACACUGGGCUUAACCCCGAGCCUGCUUCCGAUACGGGCAGACUAGAGGUAGGCAGGGGAGAGCGGAACUCCUGGUGUAGCGGUGGAAUGCGCAGAUAUCAGGAAGAACACCGGUGGCGAAGGCGGCUCUCUGGGCCUUACCUGACGCUGAGGAGCGAAAGCGUGGGUAGCGAACAGG